rnacentral:rRNA from 1 species
UAUUGCACAAUGGGCGCAAGCCCGAUGCAGCCAUGCCGCGUGUGUGAAGAAGGCCUUCGGGUUGUAAAGCACUUUCGGCGAGGAGGAAGGGUAGUGUGUUAAUAGCACAUUGCAUUGACGUUACUCGCAGAAGAAGCACCGGCUAACUCCUUGCCAGCAGCCGCGGUAAUACGGAGGGUGCAAGCGUUAAUCGGAAUUACUGGGCGCAAAGCGCACGCAGGCGGUUUGUUAAGUCAGAUGUGAAAUCCCCGCGCUUAACGUGGGAACUGCAUUUGAAACUGGUAAGCUAGAGUCUUGUAGAGGGGGGUAGAAUUCCAGGUGUAGCGGUGAAAUGCGUAGAGAUCUGGAGGAAUACCGGUGGCGAAGGCGGCCCCCUGGACAAAGACUGACGCUCAGUGCGAAG